rnacentral:lncRNA from 1 species
CUCAGUCUUCUGAAGAGUGGACAUAGAUCUUUAUGAAUGUGGAGACUCCACUGCAAGGACUGUUGCAGCUUUGGCGGGUACCCUAGGCUGCCACCUGGCUGGCCUGCCCUCAAGGAGGCUGCUUAAAUAAAGCGAGAGGACCAAAUACUGUUGGAAAGCCGCUCACUCCACACAGAAGCAGCAGGUGCUAUUGAUGUUUCCCUUCGUACAGAUGCGGCAGUAAAUAACAUACCCAAAGCCACGCAAGUGGAAGAAAGAGCCUUUAACGUGAGUCUGUGUGACCGCAACAUUUGAGUUCCUUCUGAUACCCCAUGGCGCCCUAAAAUGAAAUAUCCUGACAUAUUCUAUAAGGACUCAUCUCAUUUCAGGCUCUGAGAAAUUACUGGGAGCUUUUGACCUGGAUUUUGAGGCCCCCACCCUGCCCAGCUUGGCGCCGCUCUCGGAGCUAGCAUCCUGGUGCUGUGGGCAAGGGUGGCUCAUGAUCCCUGUACGUUGUGAGUGCUUGUACUUUGGGGUUUCCGGGACUCAACUGGCUGCAGAUAAAUUGGAAACUGCUGCUUCGGCUGCCUGCGGGGCGAGGCCUGAUGUCUUUGUGGUUCCGGUCGAUGACAAGGUGUAAAGUUAGAGGCGCUACUCUGCCCUCCCUUGAAGUAGCCGGCAUUUUGUUCGGGACCUCAAGUGGCGCCUGACCACCUCCGCCAGUCUUGGAGAUGACAGAUCCGUUUACAGCGCUGCCGAGUGAAGUCAUAUUAAGUCGUCCGUCUCUGCCAAAUGCUAUUCAUUGUGAGAUCUGCCUCAUAAUAAAGCAUGAUGGAUUGCUUCUUUUGGCCAGAGAAUAACUUAACCUCUGACUCGAGAUGGAGGCAUAAGCAAGAUCAGUUUCAGUUGUUGGAGAAAAAUGAAGUCCUUGUCCAGGCACACAGUCCACUGCAUGGAAAAUAUGGGGUCACUGUUCCUAAGAGGCAACUCCCUUUUUCCUGCAAGUUGAUUAUUUGUUGGUUUUACUGGAGACAGUCCUGCCUUGGAGACAGUGAUGCUCAUGGUGAGACUGGGGUGGGAAGGUUGGCUGAGGAAGAG